GCUUAACACAUGCAAGUCGAGCGGUAAGGCCUUUCGGGGUACACGAGCGGCGAACGGGUGAGUAACGCGUGGGAAUCUGCCCUUUGCUUCGGAAUAACUCAGGGAAACUUGUGCUAAUACCGGAUGAUGUCUUCGGACCAAAGAUUUAUCGGCAAGGGAUGAGCCCGCGUAGGAUUAGGUAGUUGGUGGGGUAAAGGCCUACCAAGCCGACGAUCCUUAGCUGGUCUGAGAGGAUGAUCAGCCACACUGGGACUGAGACACGGCCCAGACUCCUACGGGAGGCAGCAGUGGGGAAUUUUCGUCAAUGGGGGCAACCCUGAACGAGCAACGCCGCGUGCAGGAUGACACUUUUCGGAGCGUAAACUGCUUUUCUCGGGGACGAGUAAGGACGGUACCCGAGGAAUCAGCCCCGGCUAACUACGUGCCAGCAGCCGCGGUAAUAC
rnacentral:rRNA from 1 species